GCGAGGGUACGAAAGUGGCCAACUCGGCUGGACUUAAGAUCCAGUUCCGCAGGGAUUCAUGGGUUCGACUCCCAUCCCUCGCA
rnacentral:tRNA from 1 species